CCCCCACCCCAAAUUUUUUGGCUCUGUGUGUGAUGGGAAAGGGGGCUGCGCGAUGACACGUGAUGGGAUCGCCAAGAUUGUAGCAAGGGGAGAGGGGAAUCAAGCUAAUUGUCUAAAGAUCCGCCCCUCCCCCAAGAAAAGUUUCGGCCAGUGCAAAGAAUCACGACCUGAAUUUGAUCCCGAUUUCUCUCUCUAAUCACGGGGGGUUAGGGGUUUCUGAGGUUGAAGACGAUGUGGUUAUUUUCAGAAUUAUCCCCGUAGUUUAUUUUUACUCUAUAUCACCUAUCUGGACGGCGCGGAAGGACUAAAAGGUCCAAAAUGACUAGCGCACAGCGUCAGAUUCUCCCGUCAGCGGAUCCACACGCGGGGCAACAACAACCAAAUCCGGUGGGCGGACGGGGAACUUGAGGACGGAGGAUGGCGGUGGAGUUCCCCAUCACCUUGCGGGAGCUCUACAGGAACGCCAUCACGAACUGAAUUUCAGAUUUGGCAUUAGGAGUUGCUAAUAACUCGAAGGGAACAAGGAAAUUGUUGGCUUUCUUCAAUACAUCCAACCAAUAGAAUUUUAUAUCAACCAUGGCUGAGCAGGCAAGAGCAGAUUUUGCAACAAAGCUCUCACUACGGAAAUUCAUG